rnacentral:lncRNA from 1 species
UGACAUGAAUUCUGAAUUGGCAACAUGAAUUUUUCCGUGAUAUUGGACAGGGUACAUUUGAAGCAAAAUUUUAUCAUUACCUUUCCCAAUUGUCAAUGUACCACGGCCUCAAUCAUUUCGAGCUUUAACUUGAUACAACCACGAUCGCCCCAAUAAAAUUGAGUAUGACAAUUUAGAGCUUUACAAUCAAAAAAUAAUAUAAUCGAUUUUAUAGAUAAUCCCUGCAAUUACUGUAUCAAUACUUCAUAAAAUAUCCAUAGGUUUAACUCGACUGGAGUCAAUCAUUCUCAAAACC